CUACGUGCCAGCAGCCGCGGUAAUACGUAGGGUGCGAGCGUUAAUCGGAAUUACUGGGCGUAAAGCGAGCGCAGACGGUUACUUAAGCAGGAUGUGAAAUCCCCGGGCUCAACCUGGGAACUGCGUUCUGAACUGGGUGACUAGAGUGUGUCAGAGGGAGGUAGAAUUCCACGUGUAGCAGUGAAAUGCGUAGAGAUGUGGAGGAAUACCGAUGGCGAAGGCAGCCUCCUGGGAUAACACUGACGUUCAUGCUCGAAAGCGUGGGUAGCAAACAGGAUUAGAUACCCUGGUAGUCCACGCCCUAAACGAUGUCAAUUAGCUGUUGGGCAACUUGAUUGCUUAGUAGCGUAGCUAACGCGUGAAAUUGACCGCCUGGGGAGUACGGUCGCAAGAUUAAAACUCAAAGGAAUUGACGGGGGCCCGCACAAGCGGUGGAGUAUGUGGUUUAAUUCGACGCAACGCGAAGAACCUUACCAGGUCUUGACAU
rnacentral:rRNA from 1 species